AUGGGUCUCCCUACUCAGAUCAACAAGUCUAGAAAUCAAAGUUUUUGGUACAUAGUGGACAGAAUCAGAGAUAAACUCCAAAGUUGGAAGGAAAAGACUCUAUCCUAUGCUGGCAUAGUAACUCUUAUAAAAUCUAUUGCUCAAGCUAUUCCAAAGUCAUUGGUUCUUAUUAUUGCAAUAUCCAUCACCAUUGGAACACUCUACCUUGUUUUUAGGCCAAAGCUUCCUAAAUACUCAGUAGACAGAUUGAGAAUAGCACAGUUAACCAUAGCUUCCUAA